rnacentral:rRNA from 1 species
UACAUGCAAGUCGAGCGGAAACGACUUAACUGAACCUUCGGGGGACGUUAAGGGCGUCGAGCGGCGGACGGGUGAGUAAUGCUUAGGAAUUUGCCCAGUCGAGGGGGAUAACCAUUGGAAACGAUGGCUAAUACCGCAUACGCCCUACGGGGGAAAGAGGGGGAUGCUUUUGCACCUUUCGCGAUUGGAUAAGCCUAAGUGAGAUUAGCUAGUUGGUGAGGUAAAGGCUCACCAAGGCGACGAUCCCUAGCUGUUCUGAGAGGAUGAUCAGCCACACUGGGACUGAGACACGGCCCAGACUCCUACGGGAGGCAGCAGUGGGGAAUAUUGCACAAUGGGCGCAAGCCUGAUGCGGCCAUGCCGCGUGUGUGAAGAAGGCCUUCGGGUUGUAAAGCACUUUCAGUGGUGAGGAAAGGGUAAUCGUUAAUAGCGAUUACAGUUGACGUUAGCCACAGAAGAAGCACCGGCUAACUCCGUGCCAGCAGCCGCG